UACGUAGGGGGCAAGCGUUGUCCGGAAUUAUUGGGCGUAAAGCGCGCGCAGGCGGCCUCCUAAGUCCGAUGUGAAAGCCCACGGCUCAACCGUGGAGGGUCAUUGGAAACUGGGGGGCUUGAGUGCAGGAGAGAAGAGUGGAAUUCCACGUGUAGCGGUGAAAUGCGUAGAGAUGUGGAGGAACACCAGUGGCGAAGGCGACUCUGUGGCCUGUAACUGACGCUGAGGCGCGAAAGCGUGGGGAGCAAACAGG
rnacentral:rRNA from 1 species